UGGGGAAUAUUGGGCAAUGGGCGAAAGCCUGACCCAGCAACGCCGCGUGAGGGAAGAAGGUCUUCGGAUUGUAAACCUCUGUCCUUGGGGACGAAAAAAAUGACGGUACCCAAGGAGGAAGCCCCGGCUAACUACGUGCCAGCAGCCGCGGUAAUACGUAGGGGGCGAGCGUUGUCCGGAAUUACUGGGCGUAAAGGGUGCGUAGGCGGUUUUUUAAGUCAGAUGUGAAAUCCCCGGGCUUAACUCGGGUGGUGCAUUUGAAACUGGGAGGCUAGAGUGCAGGAGAGGGAAGCGGAAUUCCUAGUGUAGCGGUGAAAUGCGUAGAUAUUAGGAGGAACACCAGUGGCGAAGGCGGCUUUCUGGACUGUAACUGACGCUGAGGCACGAAAGCGUGGGGAGCAAACA
rnacentral:rRNA from 1 species